UAGGGAAUCUUCCGCAAUGGACGCAAGUCUGACGGAGCAACGCCGCGUGAGUGAAGAAGGAUUUCGGUUCGUAAAACUCUGUUGUUAGAGAAGAACAGCGCAUAGAGUAACUGUUAUGCGUGUGACGGUAUCUAACCAGAAAGCCACGGCUAACUACGUGCCAGCAGCCGCGGUAAUACGUAGGUGGCAAGCGUUGUCCGGAUUUAUUGGGCGUAAAGCGAGCGCAGGCGGUCAAUUAAGUCUGAUGUGAAAGCCCCCGGCUCAACCGGGGAGGGUCAUUGGAAACUGGUUGACUUGAGUGCAGAAGAGGAGAGUGGAAUUCCAUGUGUAGCGGUGAAAUGCGUAGAUAUAUGGGGGAACACCAGGGGCGAAGGAGACUCUCUGGUCUGUAACUGACGCGGAGGUUCGAAAGCGUGGGUAGCAAACAGG
rnacentral:rRNA from 1 species